AUUCCGCGUGAGUGAAGAAGGCCUUCGGGUUGUAAAGCUCUUUCGGCAGGAACGAAACGGCGAGCUCUAACAUAGCUCGCUAAUGACGGUACCUGAAGAAGAAGCACCGGCUAACUACGUGCCAGCAGCCGCGGUAAUACGUAGGGUGCGAGCGUUAAUCGGAAUUACUGGGCGUAAAGCGUGCGCAGGCGGUUGUGUAAGACAGGUGUGAAAUCCCCGGGCUUAACCUGGGAACUGCGCUUGUGACUGCACGACUAGAGUAUGGCAGAGGGGGGUGGAAUUCCACGUGUAGCAGUGAAAUGCGUAGAGAUGUGGAGGAACACCGAUGGCGAAGGCAGCCCCCUGGGCCAAUACUGACGCUCAUGCACGAAAGCGUGGGGAGCAAACAGGAUUAGAUACCCUGGUAGUCCACGCCCUAAACGAUGUCGACUAGGUGUUCGGUGAGGAGACUCAUUGAGUACCGCAGCUAACGCGU
rnacentral:rRNA from 1 species